ensembl:lncRNA
AUUUCUUGAAAACAGGUCUUAACAAUAACUAAUGGCUACCUGUGGACAGAACGGUUUAAAAAGGGCUGCACACUCUCUCUGCAUGUUUGGACGGGGUCUUGAGGAAGAGAACACACACAUAUGGUGUUGACCAUCACACUCUGCAGUGACAGACGGAGCAGACUCAUUACCGAACAAAACGACAGGCAGCGUGUCGGAGGGGAGGUUUCAGACAGAGGAGCAUGACUGCUGUACGGAGAGAAUACGCAGGAAAACAGAGAACGAUGGACAGAACUACUAAAGGCAGUCUUUCUCAGGUAAGUCAUAACACCACCAGUCCUGAGAGAGACGACGUUUAACUGCAGGUAAGAAUCACAUCCUGCUGUAAAUAUCUGUUUUUAAUAUGAAGUGGCAGGGGAUAUGAACACUUCUCAGGAAAGAAGAUGUGUGUUGCCACAGGGUUUCUCCUAACCAGUGCUCUAGACUGAAAAGCAUAAACACUGUUAUCACUCUUCCUGCUAGCAGGUACUUCGGUGAGAGCAGGUGCAACUGACUCUGCUUACUUUUACCAAUAUAUUCAUUAACACCAUUACUGCUUGUUUCCAGGCACAUACAGGCUCAAAUUAAGCAUGGGAACACUGAUGAUAAUAAUUAAACUAUAGGCCCUUUUAUGUGGUUCAAAUAUAUGAGCUCUUAAUUACACGUCCUAAUCCAAAAUUUCUUAAGCCUUAGAAGUGUGGCUUUAAAUAGUAAAAUAAAUACAUUUAAAAAA